CAUUGUAAAUGUGAAGCGGUUGCAUUGACAAAAAUUGCAUUAUGUCUCACUGGAAGGAAGCACAGAGCUGAGGAGUACAGCUUUGGCUCCACAGGAGCAGAGCAGAGACGCAGUAACCAUGGCAUGGACUGCACUGACACAGACCAGGGAGGCAGACAGCUGCCCCUGUGUUUAUUCAUUCAUCCAACCCCAUCUCCUGUUACGACCCGCCGGUCUAGAGUCAGGGAUCGUAACUAAAAAUGGCAACUUUCUUUUCAAACGAUCACGCACGUCUGAAGCUGGAGAGGGGAAACCCAACCUUUGACCCCCCGAGUGCUGCUUUAUCUCCCACACUGGCGAAAGGCAGCCAUUGUGAACCUGCAGCCAGGAGAGAGGGAGGGACAAUCACAGAAGGAAACACAACCGCCUCCAUGUCCUUGGACACAACACUCCUCCUGUGUUCAGUCAUCUGUCUGUCGACACCUGUGUUCAUUCGCUCAUUCAGUCAUUCUGAGAAUGUAUUCACUCAUUUACCACUCUGUCUUUUAUUUGUUCAUUAAUCCACACAAAUCUGUUUGUCAUGUAUUCAAUUAGUUAUCUGCAUUUUUAUUUUGUAUUGCGCCUAACUUCACCUCCACCUGUAUUUAACUGUAGCAUUAACAGAUUUCCAACCUAAAGUAUAGUAUGGAGAAACUAUUUUGUCUCCUUAUGCUGGCUACAUUAUACUAUAGCUGAGAAGGUAUGGCAGCUAUAUUAUAGAUUCUGUACAGUAAAACAAAUAAACGUUUAUGGCCACAUAUCAAUUAUAAAUCUAGC